UACAACAUAGCGUUAAUGCAUCAUAUCCCAUUAGAAUUACGUAGUUAAGCACGCCCAGGCUAGAGUAGUAUUGGGAUGGGUGAUCGCCUGGGAAGUCCUAGUGUUUUAC
rnacentral:rRNA from 1 species